rnacentral:rRNA from 1 species
AGUGAACGCUGGCGGUAGGCCUAACACAUGCAAGUCGAACGGCAGCACAGGAGAGCUUGCUCUCUGGGUGGCGAGUGGCGGACGGGUGAGGAAUACAUCGGAAUCUACUCUGUCGUGGGGGAUAACGUAGGGAAACUUACGCUAAUACCGCAUACGACCUACAGGUGAAAGCAGGGGACCUUCGGGCCUUGCGCGAUUGAAUGAGCCGAUGUCGGAUUAGCUAGUUGGCGGGGUAAAGGCCCACCAAGGCGACGAUCAGUAGCUGGUCUGAGAGGAUACUCAGCCACACUGGAGCUGAGACACGGUCCAGACUCCUACGGGAGGCAGCAGUGGGGAAUAUUGGAAAAUGGGCGCAAGCCUGAUCCAGCCAUACCGCGUGGGUGAAGAAGGCCUUCGGGUUGUAAAGCCCUUUUGUUGGGAAAGAAAUCCAGCUGGCUAAUACCCGGUUGGGAUGACGGUACCCAAAGAAUAAGCACCGGCUAACUUCGUGCCAGCCGCCGCCGUAA